GACCCGGUGGUGAAAAAUGUCAUCAUGCCCACUCCCAAUAGCUUACGGUCUCUAUGGAAGAUUUGUGGGAGUCCCUUGUUCGAACCAAGGCCGGGUCA